rnacentral:rRNA from 1 species
ACCUGGUUGAUUCUGCCGGACCCGACUGCUAUCAGAGUGGGACUAAGCCAUGCGAGUCAACAUAGCAACAUGUGGCAUACGGCUCAGUAACACGUAGUCAACAUGCCCAGGGGACGUGGAUAACCUCGGGAAACUGAGGAUAAACCGUGAUAAGUCACUACUUCUGGAAUGGGUAAUGACUCAAAUCUAUAUGGCCCCUGGAUUGGACUGCGGCCGAUCAGGCUGUUGGUGAGGUAAUGGCCCACCAAACCUGUAACCGGUACGGGCUCUGAGAGGAGGAGCCCGGAGAUGGGCACUGAGACAAGGGCCCAGGCCCUAUGGGGCGCAGCAGGCGCGAAACCUCUGCAAUAGGCGAAAGCUUGACAGGGUUACUCUGAGUGAUUUCCGUUAAGGAAAUCUUUUGGCACCUCUAAAAAUGGUGCAGAAUAAGGGGUGGGCAAGUCUGGUGUCAGCCGCCGCGGUAAUACCAGCACCCCGAGUGGUCGGGACGUUUAUUGGGCCUAAAGCAUCCGUAGCCGGUUCUACAAGUCUUCCGUUAAAUCCAACUGCUUAACAGGUGGGCUGCGGAAGAUACUAUAGAGCUAGGAGGCGGGAGAGGCAAGCGGUACUCGAUGGGUAGGGGUAAAAUCCGUUGAUCCAUUGAAGACCACCAGUGGCGAAGGCGGCUUGCCAGAACGCGCUCGACGGUGAGGGAUGAAAGCUGGGGGAGCAAACCGGAUUAGAUACCCGGGUAGUCCCAGCUGUAAACGAUGCAGACUCGGUGAUGAGUUGGCUAUAUGCCAACUCAGUGCCGCAGGGAAGCCGUUAAGUUUGCCGCCUGGGGAGUACGGUCGCAAGACUGAAACUUAAAGGAAUUGGCGGGGGAGCACCACAAGGGGUGAAGCCUGCGGUUCAAUUGGAGUCAACGCCGGAAAUCGAAUUC